rfam:Eutrema salsugineum unplaced genomic scaffold scaffold_10, whole genome shotgun sequence.
AUUGGGCAGAUGAUGAAAUUAUAUUUCAUGGGUAAUUUGCGUCUGAAUCAUCUUGAUGCUAACUUUAUGAUAAACUGAUGCCCAGA